rnacentral:rRNA from 1 species
UACAGAGGUCUCAAGCGUUGUUCGGAUUCAUUGGGCGUAAAGGGCGCGUAGGCGGUGUGGCAAGUCGGGAGUGAAAUCUCUGGGCUCAACCCAGAGACUGCUUCCGAAACUGCUGUGCUUGAGUGUGAGAGAGGCUCGUGGAAUUGCAGGUGUAGCGGUGAAAUGCGUAGAUAUCUGCAGGAACACCCGUGGCGAAAGCGGCGAGCUGGAUCACUACUGACGCUGAGGAACGAAAGCUAGGGGAGCAAACAGG